GUGGACAGGCCAGAGUGGUUAUUGGGCAUGACUAGAAAUCAUGUGGGCUCUACCCGCACAGGUUCGAAUCCUGAUGUCCAUG
rnacentral:tRNA from 1 species